rnacentral:rRNA from 1 species
AGAGUUUGAUCAUGGCUCAGGAUGAACGCUGGCGGUCUGCUUAACACAUGCAAGUCGAACGCAUCUUUCGGGGUGAGUGGCGGACGGGUGAGUAACGCGUGAGAAUCUGCCUAGAGGUCGGGGACAACCAUUGGAAACGAUGGCUAAUACCGGAUAUGCCUUACGGGGUGAAAGAUUAAUCGCCUUUAGAAGAGCUCGCGUCUGAUUAGCUAGUUGGUAGGGUAAAAGCCUACCAAGGCAUCGAUCAGUAGCUGGUCUGAGAGGAUGACCAGCCACACUGGGACUGAGACACGGCCCAGACUCCUACGGGAGGCAGCAGUGGGGAAUUUUCCGCAAUGGGCGAAAGCCUGACGGAGCAAGACCGCGUGAGGGAGGAAGGCUCUUGGGUCGUAAACCUCUUUUGUCAGGGAAGAACAAAAUGACGGUACCUGACGAAUCAGCAUCGGCUAACUCCGUGCCAGCAGCCGCGGUAAUACGGAGGAUGCAAGCGUUAUCCGGAAUUAUUGGGCGUAAAGCGUCCGCAGGUGGCUGAUCAAGUCUGCGGUCAAAGACCGGGGCUUAACCCUGGAAAGGCCGUGGAAACUGAUCAAGCUAGAGUACCGUAGGGGUAGAGGGAAUUCCCGGUGUAGCGGUGAAAUGCGUAGAGAUCGGGAAGAACAUCGGUGGCGAAAGCGCUCUACUGGACGGUGACUGACACUCAGGGACGAAAGCUAGGGGAGCGAAUGGGAUUAGAUACCCCGGUAGUCC